rnacentral:rRNA from 1 species
GUUUGGUUAAGUUAGAAAGGGCGCACGGUGGAUGCCUUGACACUAGGAGUCGAUGAAGGACGGGACUAACGCCGAUAUGCUUCGGGGAGCUGUAAGUAAGCUUUGAUCCGAAGAUUUCCGAAUGGGGAAACCCACUAUACGUAAUGGUAUGGUAUCCUUACCUGAAUACAUAGGGUAUGGAAGACAGACCCAGGGAACUGAAACAUCUAAGUACCUGGAGGAAGAGAAAGCAAAUGCGAUUUCCUGAGUAGCGGCGAGCGAAACGGAACAUAGCCCAAACCAAGAGGCUUGCCUCUUGGGGUUGUAGGACAUUCUAUACGGAGUUACAAAGGAACGAGGUAGACGAAGCGACCUGGAAAGGUCCGUCGUAGAGGGUAACAACCCCGUAGUCGAAACUUCGUUCUCUCUUGAAUGUAUCCUGAGUACGGCGGAACACGUGAAAUUCCGUCGGAAUCUGGGAGGACCAUCUCCCAAGGCUAAAUACUCCCUAGUGAUCGAUAGUGAACCAGUACCGUGAGGGAAAGGUGAAAAGCACCCCGGAAGGGGAGUGAAAGAGAUCCUGAAACCGUGUGCCUACAAAUAGUCAGAGCCCGUUAAUGGGUGAUGGCGUGCCUUUUGUAGAAUGAACCGGCGAGUUACGAUCCCGUGCGAGGUUAAGCUGAAGAGGCGGAGCCGCAGCGAAAGCGAGUCUGAAUAGGGCGUUUAGUACGUGGUCGUAGACCCGAAACCAGGUGAUCUACCCAUGUCCAGGGUGAAGUUCAGGUAACACUGAAUGGAGGCCCGAACCCACGCACGUUGAAAAGUGCGGGGAUGAGGUGUGGGUAGCGGAGAAAUUCCAAUCGAACCUGGAGAUAGCUGGUUCUCCCCGAAAUAGCUUUAGGGCUAGCCUUAAGUGUAAGAGUCUUGGAGGUAGAGCACUGAUUGAACUAGGGGUCCUCAUCGGAUUACCGAAUUCAGUCAAACUCCGAAUGCCAAUGACUUAUCCUUAGGAGUCAGACUGCGAGUGAUAAGAUCCGUAGUCAAGAGGGAAACAGCCCAGAUCGCCAGCUAAGGUCCCAAAGUGUGUAUUAAGUGGAAAAGGAUGUGGAGUUGCUUAGACAACUAGGAUGUUGGCUUAGAAGCAGCCACCAUUUAAAGAGUGCGUAAUAGCUCACUAGUCGAGUGACUCUGCGCCGAAAAUGUACCGGGGCUAAAUACACCACCGAAGCUGCGAAUUGAUACCAAUGGUAUCAGUGGUAGGGGAGCGUUCUAAGUGCAGUGAAGUCAGACCGGAAGGACUGGUGGAGCGCUUAGAAGUGAGAAUGCCGGUAUGAGUAGCGAAAGACGGGUGAGAAUCCCGUCCACCGAAUGCCUAAGGUUUCCUGAGGAAGGCUCGUCCGCUCAGGGUUAGUCAGGACCUAAGCCGAGGCCGACAGGCGUAGGCGAUGGACAACAGGUUGAUAUUCCUGUACCACCUCUUUAUCGUUUGAGCAAUGGAGGGACGCAGAAGGAUAGAAGAAGCGUGCGAUUGGUU